AAUACAAAAUUUAAAUGCAAUUUCAAUGCAAUUCGAAUGGAAGACAAUAGCUGACUGCUAUGACACUCAAAGAAGAAAGCCAAAGCUGCAAGCAACGUUCACUUAACAGCAGUUUCAUCUGUUAGUUGCAGCCACACUGUAAACUUACAGCGCUCAAUUGAAUUAACUUUAAAUACAGCAAUUUCAAUGCCUUUUUCGCUUUUGCCGUCGGCAGUUGGCAGCGUCGGUAAAUCACUUUUCAGUUUAUUUAAUCUGCUGAUGUGUUUUACAUGAAGCUGGCGCUGCACUUUUAGCCAAUUAUGCGCUUCGCAAUGUUGUAAACAAAAAUAAUCUCCCACUCUAAGGCUGUCUGGCUGUCCGACUGUCUGGCUGUCUGCGUGCGGUGUGAUAAAGUUAUUUAGGCGCAAAUCAUAAAUUCCAAAACGAGAAACCCAGAGCGGAGCUUAUCUGAUUUUGCACUUGGGCCCCUGGCACUAGAUCAAUAUGCUGCUGCUGCUGGCCGGGCAACCUGGAAACCUGGAAACCUGUGCGGGCCAAAGAUUCCUAAACCCAAAAUAAAGGAAAAGAAUCGAAAAGACAGCUGUGCGCCUGCGCCUGUUGACACAUUUGAAACAUAGAGAGAAACCGGAGAGAAGGACAGAGAAUGGAGAACGGAGAACGGGGAACGGGGAACGGAGAACAUCGAACAGAGAGUUAGAAUUUAAUGCAGGUAAAUUUGCCUCUCAAGAGCUGGGUUUUAUAUAUUUUAUUUUAUUUUAUUUUUGCCCCGUCUUUAAUUAACAGCUCUGGUUUGACUUGUGAAAUUAGAAAAUUAUGCCUGGAAUUUCCGCUCGAAAUAAAUUCCAAGCAUUUUGCGUAUUCGCUUUGCUGAUUAGCCACGAAAAAUGAUAAUGAGCUCCAACUCUGAGUCGAUCAUAAAACUAUAAAUUGCUGCAGAGAGGAAGCGAAUUAGAUUGAAUUACAGUUCCAAAUCAAUUUCAGCAACUUUUGAUGACUCGCGUGAGUUGAACAAUUUGAUUUUUUAUUGCCCAGAUUCAUAAAAAUGUUGUGCGAAAAAUUCAGGAAAUCAACUGGAGAAUAAAACGUUAGACGAGGUAGUUAGUAAUAAGGCUAUAAAUAGAGGUGAAAUAUCUUAAAGGUUGGUAAAAGCUGUCAAAACCAAUUCAAGAGAAAAUAAUCAAAGGAUUAUGAAAGCUUUAAGGAAAUAAUUUGUUGCACUAAAUUACAUAAAUUUUCAAAAUGAAGUUAUAAAACUUAUGCAAAAUGAACUUUAUAUUUAUGGAGGCUGCAUUGAUUGAAUUUAUUUAAUAUUUUUAUCCAGGCAGCUUUAGCUAAAGACUUUGCUGUCUUAUUCACGAUUAAAGCUCAUUAAAGCUUUCGUUUGAAUACUCUUUAUCAAUAAUUAACAGAUUUGUUGACAAGCUGAGACAUGUUCGAUAUCAUAAAGCCCUUAAAAGGAGAGUUCGACAUGAUACACCGUUAUGGCAAUCUGCUCUAAAAGCUCAUUAUGUACAUUCUAUUAAUUUUGAAUCCAACUAUCCAUAUUUAAGCCAAGAGAAAAAAAAAACUUUCCAUGUACUCAAAAGCUCAUUAAAACAGCGUUUCAUUAAAAAUUCAAAUUCAAAGUUUAAAGGAAAAUUAAAGCUUAAGAUUGAAAAGAAGAAGCUUAAGAACUUGCAAGAAUCAGUUGUAGUUACUAAAGCAAUAAACGAGGGAAGUUUGUAUAGUUCACGAACUAGCAAUAUAUUUAAUUUUAUUGAUAUUAAUUUUAUAUCUUGAAAUUUUCAACGCUUCCUUGUGCACCUCGCAUUAAAGUAGGAAACUUUUGCAUAUAUUAACAUUGUUUAUGUAUUUCGUCAUUCACUUUCAGCUGGUGUCAUUGGCAAACAUAAUUGAUUUGAGUUUGUGCACUUUCGAAUCGAGUAGCCACAACUAACUAACUAGUUAUGCUCACUAUGCAUUUAAUUUUUAAUUAGCUGCAGACUUUCGGUUUCGGAGACGCCGUCCAAUUUGAAAGACGAUUAAUGAUGUGUUGAGAACAUUUAUGGCCAGACGACAAAACAACCGAAAACUGAAUGCCGAAAAUCGAGAAACAAUAGCCAAAACGCCUUUCACGAGCUUUACGACUGUCGCACGCUUAUAAAUGCUAAAAAGCAGCAGCUGCUGCUGCCAGGCAGUCCAUAUAAGCGGAGUUAAUCCAUCUAUCUGUGACACGGCUAAGGCUUAGCUCUUUGGCCAAUCUUUAUGGCCAAAGCAUUUCUAUUUUUAUACAAAUUUGAUUUUAUGUUUUUUCUCCGAGUUUUUAUGCGCUGUUUUUAAAUAAUUUACAAAUGUUUUUAAGCUUCUGCUCAGUCAAUUUUUCACAAUUAACUUUCAAACAUUUAAAACUAAUUAAUAUUAAUUUAAAUUGUUUUGAUUUUCUGUGACCGCAAAUAAUUGUCAAUUUUUUAUGAGCCAGAAUCCAUUUAAAUAUAUAUGUAUGUAUGUAUAUAUUAUCUUCAAAGCAAUUAGAAAUGAAAUGGAAAUCUGCUGCGCCGCGAAGUAUGCAACAGAAAAGUGAGAGAAAAUAUAUGAAAACAAAUUUGUGUCGCACUUCUGUGUAAACAAAAUACGAAGUCGAGCGGUUUGUUGUAUAUAUUUCCAUCUACUAUAUUUAAUUAAUUUAACGACUACUUGAGAAGUCAGCAAAAGCGUGUGUGCGUGUGUGUGUGUGUGUGUGCUUGUGUGUGUGAGGGCCAGCUACAUGAAAAACUCAUUAAAAUGUUUACAGGCGCACUGAAUCAACAAAAACUCGAGAAAAAGCGACUCGACGAAUAAAUAUGAAGAACAAACUAUACAAAAACGAAAACAAAGCAAAAAAAAUAAAAUAAAAAAUAAAAAAUAAAAAACGGAAAAGGAAAACAAAAUUCAAACUUAAAUACAGCAACUGAAAUUGUUUUCAAAUAUCUUAAAACACAAACUCGUAGUUAGUUUUUCUUCCUCUUUCGGGCUUUGGCAAAUAAAGUUUUUGAAAUGAAAAUUUGAUUUGCUUUUCAUAUAUGUAAUGCGUGAGCAAACAGCAAACUGUGAAUCGCAAUUAAACGGCGACUCUAAAUUGGCCAAAGUAUCUAUGAGAUGCAAAUGUGUGUGCAUGAGAUGCAACGGAAUGGGAUACAAUUGUAUCUGCAUGUAAGAUUUUAGUUUGCAGCGGUUGGUUGAUUGGCUUAAUGAUAAUUUUAGAUAAUUUAAGAGCAGAUCAGCUGCAGCUGCAGCCAGAAGAUACAACAGUAUCUUUUAGAUACAAGUAUAUAUGAGUUGGAAACUGAAACUUUGUUGAGAUACUCUUAUGAAAUACUCUAAUGUUGAGCAAGUUCUGAAUCUAUCUAAGAGAUACAAAUGUGUAUAGGAGAUGUAAAGCAAACUAGAAACCUAUCUAUAAGAUUUAACUCUAUCAAUGAGAUAAGAAACUGCAGCUGGUCAAUAGAUUGCGGCUACAGCUUAGAUUUACUUAACCCUAAUGAAAAGUUCGAAAAUUGGAAAGUGAAAAUAGAUCAU